rnacentral:tRNA from 1 species
GCGGGUGUAGUUCAGCGUUAGAAUGCUUCCUUCCCAAGGAAGAGGUCCGGGGUUAGAAUCCCCGUACCCGCACCA